ensembl:misc_RNA Metazoa_SRP Metazoan signal recognition particle RNA
GCCGGGCAUGGUGGUGCAUGCCUGUAAUCCCAGCUACUCGGGAGGCUGAGGCACAAGAAUCACUUGAACCCGGGAGGCGGAGGUUGCAGUGAGCCGAGAUCGCACCACUGCACUCCAGCCUGGGUGACAGAGUGAGACUCCGUCUCUA